rnacentral:rRNA from 1 species
UGUUGGUGGGGUAAUGGCUCACCAAGGCGACGAUCCCUAGCUGGUCUGAGAGGAUGAUCAGCCACACUGGAACUGAGACACGGUCCAGACUCCUACGGGAGGCAGCAGUGGGGAAUAUUGCACAAUGGGCGAAAGCCUGAUGCAGCCAUGCCGCGUGUAUGAAGAAGGCCUUCGGGUUGUAAAGUACUUUCAGUUGUGAGGAAGGGUGUGUAGUUAAUAGCUGCAUAUCUUGACGUUAGCAACAGAAGAAGCACCGGCUAACUCCGUGCCAGCAGCCGCGGUAAUACGGAGGGUGCGAGCGUUAAUCGGAUUUACUGG